rnacentral:rRNA from 1 species
UGAGACAGGUGCUGCAUGGCUGUCGUCAGCUCGUGUUGUGAAAUGUUGGGUUAAGUCCCGCAACGAGCGCAACCCUUAUCCUUUGUUGCCAGCGGUCCGGCCGGGAACUCAAAGGAGACUGCCAGUGAUAAACUGGAGGAAGGUGGGGAUGACGUCAAGUCAUCAUGGCCCUUACGAGUAGGGCUACACACGUGCUACAAUGGCAUAUACAAAGAGAAGCGACCUCGCGAGAGCAAGCGGACCUCAUAAAGUAUGUCGUAGUCCGGAUUGGAGUCUGCAACUCGACUCCAUGAAGUCGGAAUCGCUAGUAAUCGUGGAUCAGAAUGCCACGGUGAAUACGUUCCCGGGCCUUGUACACACCGCCCGUCACACCAUGGGAGUGGGUUGCAAAAGAAGUAGGUAGCUUAACCUUCGGGAGGGCGCUUACCACUUUGUGAUUCAUGACUGGGGUGAAGUCGUAACAAGGUAACCGUAGGGGAACCUGCGGUUGGAUCACCUCCUUACCUGAAAGAA